rnacentral:rRNA from 1 species
AACGAACGCUGGCGGCAGGCCUAACACAUGCAAGUCGAGCGAACCCUUCGGGGUUAGCGGCGGACGGGUUAGUAACGCGUGGGAAUAUACCCUUUGGUACGGAAUAGCCUCGGGAAACUGAGAGUAAUACCGUAUGUGCCCUUCGGGGGAAAGAUUUAUCGCCAAAGGAUUAGCCCGCGUUGGAUUAGGUAGUUGGUGGGGUAAUGGCCUACCAAGCCUACGAUCCAUAGCUGGUUUGAGAGGAUGAUCAGCAACACUGGGACUGAGACACGGCCCAGACUCCUACGGGAGGCAGCAGUGGGGAAUCUUAGACAAUGGGCGCAAGCCUGAUCUAGCUAUGCCGCGUGGACGAUGAAGGCCUUAGGGUUGUAAAGUCCUUUCAGAUGGGAAGAUAAUGACGGUACCAUCAGAAGAAGCCCCGGCUAACUCCGUGCCAGCAGCCGCGGUAAAGUCUGUACU